GAUGCGCUCUCUCUUCACCAUGCCGCCGCCGCCGGCGGCGGCGCCGGCGGCCGGCGAGGGGGCUCCCCCAUCCUCCUCUGCACCGUCUCCGCUCUAACCCACCGCCUUCGAGUCUGACCCGUCGAGUGCGGCCUCCGGCCGGCGGCGGCGGAGCGAGAAGAGAGAAGGGGAGAUGACGCGCCGCCGCCCACGUAUCCGCGCGCUUCCCUCCGGCCGGCGGCGUACCACGGCGCCGCCGCUCCCGGGGAAGAAGAUGCCCAUCGUCCUCCUCUUCCUAUCAGCAAUUCAACACCGCGAGGACAACAAGAGUCACAUGAUUCCAUGAACCAAUAAGGCAGCAGUGUUGUACUGUUCUUCGUCUCCUCUCUCUCUCUCUCUCUCUCCACAAGGUGAUUGAUCUCCAUUUCGUGUACAAAAUCUUCUUUCAUUACAUGAUGAUGAUCUGCACCUGAUCGAAUUAUGAUAGUUGUUACAUGUUCUUCUCAUUUCGGUUACAGCAAAAUGAAAUGACAGGUUAACUGAAUAUCCUCAAAUCAAUGGAGCGAAACUCUGAACUCCUGACUCAAACAACAUUUCAGAGAUUCAUCCUGAAUUCCUGAUACAGAGUAAGCCCUCCCAUCCCUUCUUUCUUGCUUGCCUUGGGCAACUACCAAAAACCCACCAAUCAUGCAACAAUCUAUGUGCACACACAAACCAGGCAGUUGCUUCCUAGAAGAGUGAGUUAGUGUGUAGGUAAGAAAAAUGUAGGAAAAGAAACUCUCCCUGAUGGGGACUGCAGUGCAUCAGCAUGCAGUUCAGUUCAGGCACGUUCCCUGAAAGUUCUAUGCCUCCCUUGCGGCAACUAAACUCUGAAAAAGUCUAGUCAGUUGUGGCGUGCAGCUGAGGGUGUGUUUAGGCGCUGUUUAGAUGGGAUUAAAACUUUUAAGUCCCUAUUACAUCGGAUGUUUGGAUACUAAUUAUAAAUAUUAAAUAUAGACUAUUAAUAAAACCCAUCCAUAAUCUUGGACUAAUUCGCAAGACGAAUCUAUUGAGCCUAAUUAAUCUAUAAUUAGCCUAUGUGAUGCUACAGUAAAUAUUCUCUAAUUAUAGAUUAAUUAGGCUUAAAAAAUUUGUCUCGCGAAUUAGCUUUCAUUUAUAUAAUUAGUUUUGUAGGUAGUCUAUAUUUAAUACUCUAAAUUAGUGUCUAAAGACAGGGACUAAAGUUAAGUCCCUGAAUCCAAACACCACCUUAGUUCACGCUAAAAUUGGAAGUUUGGUUGAAAUUGAAACGAUAUGAUGGAAAAGUUGAAAGUUUGUGUGUGUAGGAAAGUUUUGAUGUGAUGGAAAAGUUGAAAGUUUGAAGAAAAAGUUUGGAACUAAACUCCGCCUGAGUAAGAGUAUAUAGCACAAGAACUUCCAUAUCACAAGUUCACAACCCUCUCUGACACUGACCUCCCAAUUCACUUUGCCUCACAAUUAAGCUGGCAAUGGGUCCAUAGGAGCACAGAUCCACAUCACACACAAGAAACUUACUAGUACUCUAUUUCAACGAGUUCACUGACUGUACCGCAGUUAAAAAAAAAAAACUACUGUCCAUGUUCCCAUAUCUUCAGAGUAAGCCUUCUUUUCCUUUUUCUUUUUUUUCUUUUUACAAUUUGCCCAGUACUAUCAAAGAAAUCACGGAUUUGGAAAAUAGCACUGUAUGUGUCAUUCUUACGUACAGUGGUAUUUCGCAACUCAUGUACCUUUGCAAUGAUAAUGGUAUUUCCUAAUAUUUUUUCAUUUUUUCCCUCCUGAAGAAUCUUCAAUAAUCACCUCACACAGUUUUGGGCUUCUGGCCGAAGCUUGGCUCAUCUUGUCACCAGAAAUUUCAUUUUGCUGGGAUGCUAUAUCCACCAAUUGCACGUAAAUUGUAGUACUACUUUUUACCGUUUAGGUGCAACUCAAGUAUCAAAUUAGCUCUUUUGCAAAACUCUUCAAAAGUGUGUUGAUCUGUUUGGUUGGCUUCCCCGUGUGUUUGGUUCACGUUCUGUCACUGCCAUGAUAAUAGGCCAGAGACCAAUCAUUCAACCUGCAACUUCCAUACAACAACCAGCUAAGCUGAUCGAUUGGGUUUUGGAUAACCAGAUUUAACACGUGUUGUGGAUCUUUGCUACAGGUGUUCUAAUCUUUUCAUUAGUACCAUUCCAUUAUUCAAUAUAGUAACAGCAAUUGCGAUCCGUGCAGCUGCUUUCGGAAGCUCUCAGGCUGUUUUCCUGCAGUACUUGGCCUGUGGAAAAAAAUUUCCCUUUGCUCCUCAAAGUGGGUUCCUGGCACGUUGCACACUUGUGCACAAAUAUCCAUUAUGGUACGCACGUCUUGAAGCUAAUGGUGCCAUGCCGCCCUCGUGCCUGAACCGAGAAACAUUUGCUAGUGGGAGGCAAGGAAGGCGAUGGCCGAUGUAAGAGCACUAAUUGUCUCAUUGUUUCCAUCACAGCAAAUUGCACUGUAAGUCAUCCAACUUGUAUGCCGUGUACUUCCCAUCUCAAGGACUAUAUAACCUCAACAUGCCACCUAAAAACUAAGAUAAUCUCGACCUCUCUAAAUCAAACAAACUGGAUGGGCUAACAACUCUGACUUGUUCGUCCAACCAGGCUUACAUAGUCACUGUUGAAAUUUGAUUGGGUUCAGUACAAGUCUAGCUAGAUUUUUUCAGUCAAUUAUUUGAUAGGCAGGACAGGGAAUCAAACGUGAGG
rnacentral:sRNA from 1 species